rnacentral:lncRNA from 1 species
GCUCUGUGAAGUUUAUUCAACACAAGAUUUAUUUUCAUACAAUCAUCUCUCAGCAUGCUAACAUGCUACAUUUGUUACGUUAAAACAGUGUGGACAGAGCUAGCGAUGCUAACACGUGUGCUAACUGUGAUGUGUGACUCAGCAGGAUGCGGGCUGUGUGUGUCCUCUGUGUGUCCUCUGUGUGUUCUCUGUGUGUCCUCUGUGUGUUCUCUGAGUGUUCUCUGAGUGUCCUCUGUGUGUGUCCUCUGUGUGUUCUCUGUGUGUCCUCUGUGUGUUCUCUGUGUGUUCUCUGUGUGUCCUCUGUGUGUUCUCUGUGUGUCCUCUGUGUGUCCUCUGUGUGUUCUCUGUGUGUGUUCUCUGUGUGUCCUCUGUGUGUUCUCUGUGUGUGUUCUGUGUGUGUUCUCUGUGUGUCCUCUGUGUGUUCUCUGUGUGUUCUCUGUGUGUGUCCUCUGUGUGUUCUCUGUGUGUUCUCUGUGUGUGUUCUCUCUGUGUGUUCUCUCUGUGUGUUCUCUGUGUGUUCUCUGUGUGUUCUCUGUGUGUGUUCUCUGUGUGUUCUCUGUGUGUGUUCUCUGUGUGUUCUCUGUGUGUGUUCUCUGUGUGUCCUCUGUGUGUCCUCUGUGUGUUCUCUGUGUGUUCUCUGUGUGUGUUCUCUGUGUGUCCUCUGUGUGUUCUCUGUGUGUUCUCUGUGUGUGUUCUCUCUGUGUGUGUUCUCUGUGUGUUCUCUCUGUGUGUUCUCUCUGUGUGUUCUCUGUGUGUUCUCUGUGUGUUCUCUGUGUGUGUUCUCUGUGUGUCCUCUGUGUGUUCUCUCUGUGUGUGUUCUCUGUGUGUUCUCUGUGUGUGUUCUCUGUGUGUCCUCUGUGUGUUCUCUGUGUGUUCUCUGUGUGUUCUCUGUGUGUGUUCUCUCUGUGUGUUCUCUCUGUGUGUUCUCUCUGUGUGUUCUCUGUGUGUUCUCUGUGUGUUCUCUCUGUGUGUUCUCUGUGUGUCCUCUGUGUGUUCUCUGUGUGUCCUCUGUGUGUUCUCUGUGUGUUCUCUCUGUGUGUUCUCUCUGUGUGUUCUCUGUGUGUUCUCUGUGUGUUCUCUGUGUGUGUUCUCUGUGUGUCCUCUGUGUGUUCUCUCUGUGUGUGUUCUCUGUGUGUUCUCUGUGUGUUCUCUGUGUGUCCUCUGUGUGUUCUCUGUGUGUUCUCUGUGUGUUCUCUGUGUGUUCUCUGUGUGUGUUCUCUCUGUGUGUUCUCUCUGUGUGUUCUCUCUGUGUGUCCUCUGUGUGUUCUCUGUGUGUUCUCUGUGUGUUCUCUCUGUGUGUUCUCUGUGUGUCCUCUGUGUGUUCUCUGUGUGUCCUCUGUGUGUUCUCUCUGUGUGUGUUCUCUGUGUGUUCUCUGUGUGUGUUCUCUGUGUGUCCUCUGUGUGUUCUCUGUGUGUCCUCUGUGUGUUCUCUGUGUGUUCUCUGUGUGUGUUCUCUGUGUGUUCUCUGUGUGUUCUCUGUGUGUUCUCUGUGUGUUCUCUGUGUGUCCUCUGUGUGUUCUCUGUGUGUUCUCUGUGUGUUCUCUGUGUCCUUGUGCUCAUACCUGGACUGUGCCAGCACCAGAGGAACCGGUCAGAGGGCGAUGCGUCUU